rnacentral:lncRNA from 1 species
CCAGGCAGAAGGACAGCAUUGCAGAGCUCUAGGGAGGAGCACACCUAAGUGCUCUGGGUGCAGCUAGGAGGCAGAGUGGCUGGAGUGAGAAAGAGAGAAAGUACCAGGACACAAGGUGGGAGAGGAAAUGGGGAGCCAGGUUUUCCUCUUACCCCACGGUACUUUGGCUCUUUUUUGCAGGGUUAUCUAUCACAUUCUGUCAUAUGGUACAGUCCAUGUUUGUGUCUGGGGCUAGAGAUUGAGUUCUAGUGUCACCCAGGGUCUAGUCCAGUCCUGGCACUUGGCACCUACUUAACCAGUGUUGGAGGAGUGCACACCUGUGCAGACACGAUUGAGUGAAUAGCAGGGUGAGAUGGAGUGACACCAAGACAAGAUGCAAGUGAGACUGCUUGCUGGAGCAAGUGCAAGGGUCUUUGGGGUGGCUUUGCCUGCCUGGGUCUUUCCCCUUUGCUUUUGCACUGGGCCCCACUUCUUGUCCCUUCUCAGCACCAAUCUCCAUUUUGCAUCUCACCCCUGUAGCUGAAUGUUCAGCCCCACCUCCUGCUGCAUUCCCAGUGGCUCCCAUAUUUGCCUACAAAGAGGUUGCUACUAUAAAUAAAAUGAGAGCAUUCGCUGUAGCCCCAGAAUCCGGGCAGAUUCUACCUACAACGCCUCAAUCGUGGUGCUUUUAA